rnacentral:rRNA from 1 species
UACGAAGGGGGCUAGCGUUGCUCGGAAUGACUGGGCGUAAAGGGCGCGUAGGCGGUUUGGACAGUCAGAUGUGAAAUUCCUGGGCUCAACCUGGGGGCUGCAUUUGAUACGUUCGGACUAGAGUGGGGAAGAGGGUCGUGGAAUUCCCAGUGUAGCGGUGAAAUGCGUAGAGAUCGGGAGGAACACCAGAGGCGAAAGCGGCGACCUGGACAGGUACUGACACUCAACUACGAAAGCGUGGGGAGCAAACAGG